rnacentral:lncRNA from 1 species
GGAGGACACAUUCAGUAAUUUAACAGUUGGCAACUAGAGAGAUCUGACUAAAGUUCAAGAAGAUUCCAACUUUAUGCAAAUGAUCAGCGAUGUGACCGCUCAAUAGCCCAUUGGAGAAUGGAGGGUCUCGCUAGAUAGCUUUGACACCGCGCUGGAUAGGCCAACAACCAACAUGUUGUUUUACAUGCUGUUCAGAAGAUAAACCGCUGAAGGGAGGUUUUGGCAACAAGCUGAAGGUAGUGAGUAGUGUGAGUGUCCUGUUAUGUCACUGCUCUGAAGUAUGGCAUUGACAAGAUAUAAUUGUCAACAUUAAACUAUACUUAUGUGAUAGAUAAUGUACCUUUAACGUUAUAAAAAGUUGAUAUUUAUUGGAUAUAAUGAAAAUAUCAUGUUAUAAACUUCAGUUUAUAAUCAAUAAGUUAGUCCUGUUGACCAUUCAAUUCAAUUAUUUUAAAAUGACUAACACAUUUAUUGUGAUGUUAAAGGAGUAUCUCAGGAAUAGCUAACAUCCACAGACUUUACAAUUGGCUACAAAUUGUAUUUCUGUAAGCAGGAGGAGGCUGAGAAAGUUUCUGGAUCUUCUAGACCACUAUCACUGUUAAAUGUGGAUCUCAAAAUCCUUUAAAACUGCAGCUAGAUUGUAAACUGCUUGUAAAUGCUGACCAAACAAGGUUUAUCCAAUAGAGGAAAGGACCAGAAAAAUACAUGUGAAUUUUUUCAUAGAAUUGAAGCAUCUACGAAUGAAAAUAUAUCUGUUUGUUUGAAUGUAGUUGUUGUAAAUCAUGGACAAAUUGCAUUUUAUAUUUAAAAAAUAAUUUCAAUAAGUGACACUGUCAUGAUGUUGGCCUGUGGGUAAGGUUUAUGACCCCCCCCCCCCAUAAAUACCUUACUCCCUUCCCCUCUCUGAAUCUACUGAAGGACUUGAAUAGCCUGUGUUAAAUAUAGAGAGUCUGGGAACGUCAAACAAAUGGGGAAAGGUACCACAUAUUUUGUUAAUAAAACCAGUUGGAAAUAUGCUUGGGAACGUAAUGAGUAUGUAUGUCAGUUCGGUUGUCAUCUGAGACAUUAUGACUGAUGACAGGACGACAUAAACUGUAUCUGAGAAAGUAUACGCCCUCUAGUUAUCAG